GACGAAAAUUCUGUUAUGUUUCUCGGGGACUUAUCAAAUACCACCCUUCGAAGGAAGGUUUCAACUGUCGCAAUUUGUAAUAACCGUCGCACUUUGUAAUGCCUGUCGCAAUAUCUAAUAAACCCAUUGCAAUUUGAGAUAAAAAAAAGCCAAUUUGUAAUAAAACACUUUAUUACAUAUUACUAUAGGUAUUACAAAAUGACAUCCGCUAUUUACAUACAACUGCCCCCCCCCCCCCUCCCCCUGGGGGGGCGGUUCUGUUUCUUCAGGAUAAAUGUUAUAGGGAUGCACGAGGAAAAUUCGAAAAAUACCCCUAAAAAUACCUGCACGCUAAAAAUUGCUUCCCUAAAAAAUACAUCAGAACAAAAAUUACCACUAAAAAAUACUAAAACGCAUGUAGGUGUCGAAUGACAAAUUGUCAAUGUGUUUUGUUUAGAAGUUGGAAGUGGUGGCGCUCGCGUAAUUAAUUUGAAUUUCUUUAUGAAAUUCAACAAUUUUUUACCGCGCUGCUAUGCACUCAGUUUAAGCGAGAUUUGUAAAAUUCUUUCAAAUUCUGAAGGGGUAAGCUUCACAGAUUGCAACCGUUUGCUUUUUAGGCAUAGAUGACAAGCCGAUUGCAAAAUUAUCGCAUUGUUAGGCUUAAGGCAUACGUCGAACCGAACAUGUACCUAAUUCAGUCGAACCUAUUGUUUUGGAAAUAGCUACAUUGGAAAGUACAACGUUUGCCGCGAAUCAGUUCAUCGAUUCAAUAUUGAGUCGCCGAGUCGAAUUGAAUCGUGUGUGGGGCCUGGCGGCAUACUUGAACCGAAUAAGAUAAAUAUAUUACGUACAUAAGAAUAUAAUUGAUAUAAUCAAACCUUUGCACAAAAUUUGUAAAAGCACCCUCUCCCCCACAAAAAAUAUCCAGAUCCCCCCUUAGAGCAUGCGCUCUACGUACUUUUCCACAAUAUGGCAAAUUAUCGGAAGUCGGAACCUGUCUACUGACAAAUCGACAAACGCGUUUAAAGCCACAUAACCACCGCACAGAGCACUGACAAAUCGCCACUGACAAAUUAUGUCGACCUGUCUACUGACAAAUCGACAAACGCGUUUAAAGGCAUAUAACCACCGCACAGAGCACUGACAAAUCGUCACUGACAAAUUAUGUCGACCUGUCGACUGACAAAUCGACAAACCCGUUUCACGGCUGAUAACCACCGCAAAGAGCACUGACAAAUCGCCACUGACAAAUUUUGUCGACCUUUUGACUGACAAAUCGACAAACCCGUUUCACGGCUGAUAACCACUGCACAGAGCACUGACAAAUCAACACUGACAAAUUUUUCGACCUGUCGACUGACAAAUCGACAACGGCGGUUGUCGGAGUUUGCAACCUUGUCUAUUUUAUAUACAGAAGGCGACGGGAAAAUUUCGCAGCGGCUAAAACAGCUUAAAAUGGCAAAUAAUGGCGGGUUAUAGUAGCAGCAACGUCAAGCCACUGUUUUAUUUUCAAAUCAGCAUAUUUAUUUCAACGAGAUUUGUUCGCUCAUACAAACUCUGUACGCUCAUACAAACUCUGUAAUAAACCUACUCUUGCGUGAGCCUGGGCUACCUGUCUUCCAUCUGUUCCACUACCAGUAUGAAAAUCCGACACGUCAGAGUCAGACAUCACCACAGUCAAAUAAAUUUGCAUUUGGCUUGUCAUCAUUAUUUUCCCGUGCGAGAUGGAUUCCUAGGAAUUUCCUAAGAUUUCCUAAGUUUGAUCUAAAGGUGUUAACAAAAUAUUAUUAAACUUCUUAAAAAUUCCUAGGAUUUCCUAUUAUAAGCAGUAGACCAGAAAAUCAGUAUAAUUGGGAUUAGGAAAUCUUAGGAAUUCUUAAGAAGAAGAUUUGAAGCAUUCUAAAAUACUUAGGAACUCGUAGGAAAUUCUUAGGAAAUCCUAAACGAACAUUUUUAUCACAAGAACAAACCUCAGCAUACUUUUGUAAGCUAUACUAUAACAAUAAGAAACGUAAUCAAAGACAGGCAUUAGACUCGAAUACGAGUUUUAUGAGGUGUACUUUUUUUCAGAAUUAGUACUACAUUGAAAGGAAAGAUACGAAGGGUGAUAACUGUUUUAAAAUCUUAGAUCUGAUUUAGAAAUAAUAUAUAUUGUUUCUAAUAGAAAUGCUUCUUGAGAUUAUAAGAAAAGAAGUACCGCUUUGCAGAUAGAAGACCGUAAAAUGAAAAUGUACCGGGCAUCCUUUGCUUUAGUGGCCGAGAGGGGCUUGGGCCCAAGGCGCAAAACCAUAACGGUCGAACGAACGCCAUUAUCAUAACCUCCAAACGGAUAGCCGUUUACUCCCGUCUUUUCUACGCGAAAUUCACCUAUUUUAAGGACUUGAUGAGCAGAACAUGGGUUGCAGUGAAAGGACAUUAUGAUAGAGAUAGCAAAAUGUGCCGGAGUUGAAAAGCCAGAAAAGAAAGAAAUUGGAGGUACAAGGAACGUAUCAAUGCGUGAACAGAAAGAAUCGCAUAAAAACUUUUCAAACUGAUACAAAAAUUCACUGCUUACAUAUAAAGUUUCUAUGCUUUAUAAACUGUUGCUUGAAGCACAAAAUUGGCUGACUUAGCUUAGUGAAAACCUAGUAAUCAGUCUUGCACCUAAAAUUUGUCCAGGUAUUUGUUUUGAAUAUCCAAUAUUACUGUAGUUGGUUCUGGUCCGGAUAAGUUUUAUUUUUAAUAUUCUGAUCACAGUAAAACCCUGCAAAUGAAGAACCUAGUUAUCUUUUCAUGCUAACCCACUAGGGUUCGAAUUUAAAUGGUGCAUAUAGGCUUUAGGCUUCUAGCUUCUUAUCUGAAUAUACAAAGUUAUAAACUAUGACUAUACAAAGAUGCCUAUUAUAAUGUAGCUAGAAUCCUUUUUUCCUAUGCCAUUUUGCUUCCAUUUUGUUUUAUACUGAGGCACUGGGGUUGCUUGAAUGAUGUUAGAUUAUUUUAAACAUGAAACUCAUCCAAACCAGACCCACAUAUAUUAGUUGUGCUGGAAUACAAUGGGACUGGUUUUCUAAGUCCAAGAUUUUGCACAAAUAGACAAUAGUCUUGUUUAUGUGAGUUCUAAUGUAUGUUUGUAUUUACAAUUAACCUGCAAGAAAAUGUGAUGCACCUAAACUUUGAAUAAAAAGGAAUGUUUUCAUUUUA